AACGAAGGAGGCAAGCGUUGUCCGGAGUGACUGGGCGUAAAGAGCGUGUAGGCGGUUGAGUAAGUUACGUGUGAAAGCGCCCGGCUAAACUGGGCGAGGACAGGCAAGACUGCUGAGCUAGAGGCCGAUAGAGGGGUGCGGAAUUCCGGGUGUAGCGGUGAAAUGUGUAGAGAUCCGGAGGAACACCAGUGGUGCAGACGGCGCCCUGGAUCGGACCUGACGCUGAGACGCGAAAGCGUGGGGAGCGAACGGG
rnacentral:rRNA from 1 species